rnacentral:rRNA from 1 species
GACGUAGGAGGCGAGCGUUGUCCGGAUUCAUUGGGCGUAAAGAGCGCGCAGGCGGCUUGGUAAGUCGGAUGUGAAAACCCGAGGCUCAACCUCGGGCGUGCAUCCGAAACUGCUCGGCUAGAGGUAGGUAGGGGAGAUCGGAAUUCCUGGUGUAGCGGUGAAAUGCGCAGAUAUCAGGAGGAACACCGGUGGCGAAGGCGGCUACCUGGACAGUGACUGACGCUGAGGCGCGAAAGCGUGGGGAGCAAACAGG